UGAGUAAUACCUUGGUCACCC
rnacentral:siRNA from 1 species